GUGCUUGCUUCAGCAGCACAUAUAGUAAAAUUGGAAUGACACAGAGAAGAUUAACAUGGCCCCUGUGCAAGGUUGGCAUAUUCACACUAUAACCUGUAUAAUAUUUC